rnacentral:lncRNA from 1 species
CGACAACCAUGAUUCCCUAGAGAACAAGAAGGUCGACCCUCUCACUCUAUUUUUUCUUUUUUGUCCAAGUGACUGUUGCUCUUCUUUAGCAUAGUUCUCUAGGGACUCUCCAAUUUUCCUGGACUCAACCUGAUGCAGAAAACGUGGCCGCUUUGUUUCCUGAUACCCGCAAGUUACAGCCAACAAUAGACUAGCACCGUUGACUAUUUCACUUUUCUUCUCUCACCGUGUGAGCAUUAGCAGUGUAGAGUUUGUGUAAUCUGCUAGUUAAUUAAGUAACUGUACUAGUUAGACAACCUAUGUGGUGGUUCACGUUUAGUCCCUAACCAAAAAUUAGGCCAUGCCCAUAUUACUGUUCUUCUCCUUUCUAUUGUUAUUAGUCUGGCAUAUCCCUAUAUUUUUAUAUUAUCUACCACUUUACUCCCUGACAUAGUUGCAAACUAAUAAUUAACUAUGUGUCUGUUCUACACCGAGAAGUGGUGGUUUGGUAUAGUAUACCAGUGAGCAUUUUUAUUUGUAGCAGAACUUGUCUAAGUUAGAUGUACUCAUGUUUAUUGCUAUUAGGAUCAAAUAUCAAUGAUAGUUGAGACAUACUACCUCCCAUCUUGAAAUAUAAGAUGUUUUUAUAGGCUAAACUAGCCUACAAAAACGUAUAUAUAUUUUGGUGUGUGCAUGCGACAUUCAAGGCACAUUUUUGCAAUAUAUGUUAGUAUAUGGUGCUGUGAAACUUCUACAAUUCAACGUACCACGGCAAGCUUUAGAAGUAACUUUCUUCCAUCUACAAAAGCUAAGAGGCAGAGGGAGGGGCACAUAGUUUUACCAUUGAAUAAGCUACUCCUUGAGCUAGACGGAGGCACACAACAAUUACCACUGAAUACGCUACUCCAUUCAACAUGAUUGAGGCUCUAAAAUGGAAGUGUAACAAUCUGCAGCUUUAGAGAUUUAGAGGCACACACAGAUAACAAAAUAGUGUAACAAUCUGCAGCUUUGAAAAUUUUGGUGUUCUUAUUUGAUCUUGGUUUGCGGCAAAUAAUAAUAUUGGUGUUAUCAUUGACUUUGGGCUCCAAUGAAAUUCUUGUACGUGUCAAUCCUAAUUCUCUACCAAAAGUUUUUUAACAGUAUGCUAAUGCUUUGCCCAGGUAUAUCUCAUGGACCCCCAGAUUUUGUAUGCAAUUUUCUCAACACCAUCGCGUUACCUCACUGCUGGUGGUAAUUUUGCAUCGCCACUUAUUAAUUUUUUUAUUAUUGUUUCUGGCAAAUACUAAUUCUUCAGCUGUACGCUUGAUAAUUGUUGAUGAUCUCUUAGGGUUGCAAGUGAAAUGUAUCCUUGGGCAAAAUGUCCACAUUCUUAGAUACGUCCAUCACUGUCUCCUUCAUAG